rnacentral:lncRNA from 1 species
UCUCUCUCUCUCUCUAUCUGUAUUUCUCUAUCUCUAUGUCUCUCUAUCUCUCUAUCUAUCUCUGUCUAUCUCUGUCUCUCUCUCUCUCUAUGACUAUCUCUAUCUCUCUAUCUCUAUCUCUCUAUCUCUAUCUCUCUCUAUCUCUAUCAUCUCUCUAUCUCCAUCUCUAUCUCUAUCUCUAUCUCUAUCUCUAUCUCUAUCUCUCUAUCUCUAUUAUCUCUAUCUCUCUCUCUCUCUCUAUCUCUAUGUCUAUCUCUCUAUCCCUAUAUCUAGCUCUAUCUUUCUAUCUCUCUCUCUCUAUCUCUGUUUCUCUAUCUCUGUCUGUCUCUCUCUCUCCAUCUCUAUCUCUAUAUCUAUCUCUCUAUCUCUCUCUCUCUCUCUAUGUCUAUCUCUAUCUCUCUAUCUCUAUCAUCUCUAUCUCUCUCUAUCUCUAUCUCUAUCUCUCUCUAUGUCUAUCUCUAUCUCUCUAUCUCUAUGUCUAUCUCUCUAUCCCUAUAUCUAGCUCUAUCUCUCUAUCUCUCUCUCUAUCUCUGUUUCUCUAUCUCUGUCUAUCUCUCUCUCUCUCCAUCUCUAUCUCUAUAUCUAUCUCUCUAUCUCUCUCUAUCUCUAUUUCUCUAUUUCUAUCUCUAUUUCUCUCUAUGUCUAUCUCUAUCUCUCUAUCUCUAUGUCUAUCUCUCUAUCCCUAUAUCUAGCUCUAUCUCUCUAUCUCUCUCUCUAUCUCUGUUUCUCUAUCUCUGUCUAUCUCUCUCUCUCUCCAUCUCUAUCUCUAUAUCUAUCUCUCUAUCUCUCUCUAUCUCUAUUUCUCUAUUUCUAUCUCUAUCUCUCUCUAUGUCUAUCUCUAUCUCUCUAUAUCAUCUCUAUCUCUAUCUCUCUAUCUCUAUCUCUAUCUCUCUCUCUCUAUGUCUAUUUCUAUCUGUCUAUCUCUAUGUCUAUCUCUCUAUCCCUAUAUCUAGCUCUAUCUCUCUAUCUCUCUCUAUCUCUCUAUCAUCUUUAUUUCUAUCUCUAUCUCUAUCCCUAUCUCUCUCUAUCUCUCUAUCUCUAUCUCUAUCUCUAUCCCUAUCUCUCUCUAUCUCUCUAUCUCUAUCUCUAUCCCUAUCUCUAUCUCUCUAUCUCUAUCUCUAUCUCUAUCUCUAUCUCUAUCUCUAUCACAUUUUCUUUACCCCUUUAUCCAUUGACACACG